UACAGAGGAUGCAAGCGUUAUCCGGAAUGAUUGGGCGUAAAGCGUCUGUAGGUGGCUUUUUAAGUCCGCCGUCAAAUCCCAGGGCUCAACCCUGGAAUUGCCUUUAAGACUGCAUCGCUUGAACAUCGGAGAGGUAAGUGGAAUUCCGAGUGUAGAGGUGAAAUUCGUAGAUAUUCGGAAGAACACCAGUGGCGAAGGCGACUUACUGGACGAUUGUUGACGCUGAGGUGCGAAAGCGUGGGGAGCAAACAGG
rnacentral:rRNA from 1 species